AACACCUCAACACUCCUCGAUUUGUUUCGAAUGAGUGUUGGACUUGAGCAAACCCAACGCCUUUCUGCUUAGCCAGACUUGCGGCGGGUUGCUUGAAAUGCAGGUGCAGCUGAGUUUUCUUCUGAGCUAAUAGCAUACUUAAUUAGUCCCGUAAAAAGGAUUAUUAAUCUGCUGAAGCUUACACCAAAGGAAGAGCUCUUGGCUGACUGAUGCAGAAUUACGCAUAGCUGGCAACAGCUUUGUAAC
rnacentral:misc_RNA from 1 species